CUCAUACUGUCAGAAAAUAAAACCAUCAUUCACAGCAAACUGACACAAGAACAGAAGACCAAACACCAUGUAUUUUCACUCCUAGGCGGGUGAUGAAA